CGAACGCUGGCGGCGUGCCUAAUACAUGCAAGUCGUACGCUUCUUUUUCCACCGGAGCUUGCUCCACCGGAAAAAGAAGAGUGGCGAACGGGUGAGUAACACGUGGGUAACCUGCCCAUCAGAAGGGGAUAACACUUGGAAACAGGUGCUAAUACCGUAUAACAAUCGAAACCGCAUGGUUUUGAUUUGAAAGGCGCUUUCGGGUGUCGCUGAUGGAUGGACCCGCGGUGCAUUAGCUAGUUGGUGAGGUAACGGCUCACCAAGGCUACGAUGCAUAGCCGACCUGAGAGGGUGAUCGGCCACAUUGGGACUGAGACACGGCCCAAACUCCUACGGGAGGCAGCAGUAGGGAAUCUUCGGCAAUGGACGAAAGUCUGACCGAGCAACGCCGCGUGAGUGAAGAAGGUUUUCGGAUCGUAAAACUCUGUUGUUAGAGAAGAACAAGGAUGAGAGUAACUGUUCAUCCCUUGACGGUAUCUAACCAGAAAGCCACGGCUAACUACGUGCCAGCAGCCGCGGUAAUACGUAGGUGGCAAGCGUUGUCCGGAUUUAUUGGGCGUAAAGCGAGCGCAGGCGGUUUCUUAAGUCUGAUGUGAAAGCCCCCGGCUCAACCGGGGAGGGUCAUUGGAAACUGGGAGACUUGAGUGCAGAAGAGGAGAGUGGAAUUCCAUGUGUAGCGGUGAAAUGCGUAGAUAUAUGGAGGAACACCAGUGGCGAAGGCGGCUCUCUGGUCUGUAACUGACGCUGAGGCUCGAAAGCGUGGGGAGCAAACAGGAUUAGAUACCCUGGUAGUCCACGCCGUAAACGAUGAGUGCUAAGUGUUGGAGGGUUUCCGCCCUUCAGUGCUGCAGCUAACGCAUUAAGCACUCCGCCUGGGGAGUACGACCGCAAGGUU
rnacentral:rRNA from 1 species